CUCUCUUAUUUUUAUGGACCCCAGGCUUCUAGACUACGCCAAGGUGCCAUUAGUGUUCCAAGUCAGACAAGACUGAAUUAGUCCCUCAUGCAGACUAGUAAAAGUUAGAACACUGGAUGCAUGCUCCAUGCUUCUCAUCCCCUUCUCCCACCAAGGGAAAGGCCACCAAGCUGGGUCAGCUUCUGCCUGCUGUCCCACAAGUCAUCUGCAGCAAUAGCAAGCUCUUCAUCUCUCUUUUGUUCUCAGUGGCCCCCAGGUAUCUAAAGUAUGCCAAGGCCCUCGAAGGGCUCCUCAACAGAUGAGACAGAAACCAGUCCCUCAGCCCCCUAAAAUGCUGAAAUGUUGAACCCAUGUUCCAACUCUCCUCCUCACCAGAGUCUAGAAGCUGGAAGUUUCUUUUACUUAUUCUGCACUGAGCCAGGGGAAGGACUCUGACAAUUAAGACAGUGUUUCCCAAAAUCUUUGCCUUUGUUCUCAGUGGCCCUUAACCUGGUGCCUUUCCUGUCAGUGCUUAGAUUCAGGCAACACAGAAGCCAGUUCCUCUGGCAGCAUCCCCACCUUCACAACCAGAAGUAUGAACACUGAGUGUACAGUCCCUCCUUUUCUUUCCCUCCUCCUGGGAGAAGCCCGGUGCUGGAAAUUUUCUCCUGAUCACAUCACAUUGAAUUGCAGGGAAGUCAUGUCAUGAAUGCAGCUGAUCUGAGGUUCACAUUGGGGGUGAAGGAUCCUCUUAAUAGGAUUUGUUCCAACUGGUCUCUAGAAUGGAUGUUGGAAGAUUUGGAACUUCCUAUUCCACUAUCUUUCUAAUGUCACUCUUAUAUUAUGUCCCCUUAAUAGGUUAAUAUGACCCUACCUCCUUUUCAAAUUGUCAUUUCUUCACCUCUGAAAUGAGGGCCUAUGGCAUUUGAUUGUAGUGUUCUAUAAGACUCCAACAUCCUACACCUUUUGAGACGAAUGACACAGGAAGAAAUUACACAGGCAAAAGGGAGAAUAGUUAAUGUAUACAUGUAUGUAACUGGGUGAACUUGCUGUCCAGUAGAAAAUUGACAGAACACUGUAAACCAGCUAUAAUGGGAAAAAAAAAUUAUUAUAAAUGAAAAAAAUGCUUCCCCCUUUUCAAGCACCUUUUCAACUUUUACAUACAAAUUCAAAUGUCUAUUUUGUAGUUCAAAACACAAAAAAGGAAAAAAUGACCUGUGGUAGAACAAAAUUAUUCUCAAGUGAAAUUUAGUAGUCAUAUGAUUAGUAAUAAAAAUAUUACGAUUUUUGUAUUAGUAAUAAAAUAAUAGUAACGACUAUGGUGGUUGAUUAGCAUGAUCAAGGCAACAAUGGUAUACGUAUUUAAGUUGAAAAUAAGCAAUCACAGAUGCAAAUGUGUAGAUGUAGCCGUUACCAUAGGUUCAGUUUCUGCCAUGCUCACCACUCUAGCAGAUUCUCAGAAGGGCGUGGGUCUCAAGCUUUCUCUGCUGGAAGCUCAGCAAUAUGCAGCUUUAAGCAGCCCCACAUACACUUCCUUCCUCUUUUGUCUCUCCUUUACACACACAGUUUCGCCCCUCUUUAAAUCCCUUUAAGUCCCGUAGGAAACAACUACUUCUUGACAAAUGCAACCAUAAUGCUCAGAAAACCAUGUUCCCUACCCUCCACCUGUUCUUAAAAUGAGAAGCCACACAAGCAAUUUAUCAGAAAAAAAAUAUACCUAGCAAGCCAAUGAGGAGAGUUUUUCAUACUAUCUCUUCAAUGUCUGCCUGUUAAAGAUAGAUAUUUCAUAGCAUUUGCACAAUGCGAAGAGUCCUACGUAUAAAAUGCCCGCACAUUUUAACCAAUGUCGAAAUACCAACUAUCUUGGCUAAGACUCAAAUGACAAGAAGGAGUCUGUGGCUGAAGUUUCUGUGGGCAAAAUUUUCAGACAGAAAGAGUAGCUUGGGCACAUGUCUGGAGGCAGAAUGAGCUUGAUGGGCUUUAGGGAAGGAAACCAGAGAGAGUGGCUGCAUCACCUGUGAGGGGAAAAAGGGAAAAGAUGAGAUUAUAGAUGUAAACAAGGGCCAAGUCAGGCAGGAGACACAGACCCUGACAAGGAGUCUGAAUUUUAUUCUAAGACAAGUAGAGAGCCAUUUGACACUUUGAAGCAGGCAAGUGAUGAGAUCUUGUUGACAUGCCAGAAUGAUCACCCCAGCUGUUAGGUAGAAAAUUGCUUGUGGGCACUGGAGAUGGGGUGGGGGUGGAAGCUGAUAGACUCUCAUAGGCAUCCAGACAGGAGGUGGGGCAUCUUAGAGUAGGAUGAUAACAGUGGAAGCUGGGAGAGAGGGUAAGUUUCAGGCAAGAUUUUGAAGAUGCUGCUGAUUGAGACUUGAUUAUUUGAUCAGGAGAUAAGGAGAAGAGAGCAAACAAGAAUGGAUCCUAGUGGUACAAUGAUCAUCACAACUCAAUUUUAUAGCAUGUACAAUGAUAAAAUAAAAUUAAGUAAUUUAAAAGAUUAAAUUAAAAAGAGUGAAUCCUAGGCAAUUAGCUUUGGUGGCAGAAUUCAUAUGCUAAUAGAAUGUGGAUGUCUCCAACUAUGAGCUCAGACAUGCAAGACAAACUCUCAUAAAGAUCAAUUUAAAAAUUUUACCCUUAUUGUUUUUCAAACCACAGCACAAGUUUGAGAAGAUCUGGUCUAACACAAGUUUAUGUAAAAAAGGUUUUGGAGUUUCCAUUGAGUCCAUACUCAACAGAACCCCGGAUGGUAAGUAACAGAAAACAUGGUGGUAUGUUCAUCCAUGUGUAUGUUUUAAAUACAUUCACACCAUGGACUAGAGAACAGACUUGUAGUUGCCAAGGGGGAAGAGGAGGGAAUGGAAUGGACCAGGAGUCUAGGGUUAACAGAUGCAAACUAGUGCAUUUGGAGUGGAUAAGCAAUGAGAUCCUGCUGAAUAGCACAGGGACCCUAUAGCUAGUUACUUGUGAUGGAACAUGAUGAAGAAUAAUGUGAGAAAAAGAAUGUAUAUAUGUGUGUGUGACUGUACAUAGAAAACUGACAGAACACUGUAAACCAACUACAAUGGAAAAAAUAAAAAUCAUUAAAAAUAAAUAAAUUUGUUCAUGCAACAGUGUUAUAACUCAACAGAGUAUCAGAGGCAUUUGCAUGUUAUCUUAAAUCUUUCAUAACCAUCAUUUUAUAAGCUAUGUAAUUUUCUGCUAGGUACAUCAAAACUUAAAUAGUCUCCUAUGGAAUAUAUAGGUUAU
rnacentral:lncRNA from 1 species